rnacentral:rRNA from 1 species
AUCUUCUGCAAUGGGCGAAAGCCUGACGGAGCAACGCCGCGUGAGUGAUGAAGGGUUUCGGCUCGUAAAACUCUGUUAUUAGGGAAGAACAUAUUUGUAAGUAACUGUGCACAUCUUGACGGUACCUAAUCAGAAAGUCACGGCUAACUACGUGCCAGCAGCCGCGGUAAUACGUAGGUGGCAAGCGUUAUCCGGAAUUAUUGGGCGUAAAUCGCGCGUAGGCGGUUUCUUAAGUCUGAUGUGAAAGCCCACGGCUCGACCGUGGAGGGUCAUUGGAAACUGGGAAACUUGAGUGCAGAAGAGGAAAGUGGAAUUCCAUGUGUAGCGGUGAAAUGCGCAGAGAUAUGGAGGAACACCAGUGGCGAAGGCGACUUUCUGGUCUGUAACUGACGCUGAUGUGCGAAAGCGUGGGGAUCAAACAG